AUUCACAAAAAAUACAUACAAUAAUUUCUCAAAAGUUCUCCUUUUAUUUUCUCCUCCAGAAAAAACCCAAAAAUAUAGAAAGAGAGAGAAAAAUGCAGUCCAUGUUAACCCUCCAUGGAAGCUUUGGCCUUCCUCUCUGUGUUUCAGGGAUAUCCCAUCACCAUCUGACCUUUUCUAAGGAGAUGGCAGAUCAUGAUCGCAGAAGGGAAGCCAUGAAAAGGAAGAGGUCACAAGCUAGGGCAGCUCUGCAUGCAAAUCAAGAAGUGGGUUUUGAAGGAACAAGUGAAAGAGUUGCAACAGAAGAGAUCAAGGAAGACGAUGGAGAUCUAGCUAGUGCACUACAUGAUCUGUGUUGCAGUUAUUUGGCUUGCACUGCAAAAGCUGCAUAAACUCAAUUACCUUUAGCUUAAAUUAGCUUAUUGAAUCUAAUUUUAGUUAAUUUAUGUGUUUAUGGACCUACUUUGGAUUGAUGUAUGUGGAGUUUGAUGAAUUUUUAUAACAUAUAUUUGGAGUUUAUGUU